GACGAACGCUGGCGGCGUGCCUAAUACAUGCAAGUCGAACGGAAAGGCGCGGCUCUUGCGGGGUGCUCGAGAGGCGAACGCGUGUGAGUAACGCGUGGAUCACGUCCCUGACAUUGGGAUAUAACUAGGAAACACGGGAUCUAAUACGAUAUGAGCUCCUGCUGCAUGGUGGGGGUUGGUAAGAUGCGGCGGUUCGGGAUGGACUCGCGGCUUUUCAUCUUGUUGGUGGGGUAGUGGCUUACCAAGGCUCCGACGGGUAGCCAGCCUGGGAGGGUGACCGGGCACAUUGGGACUGAGGUACGGCCCAGAGUGCAACGGGAGGCAGCGGGGGGAAAUAUUGCGCACUGGGCGGAAGCCUGAUGCAGCAACGCCGGGUGCGGAAUGACGGCCUUCGGGUUGUAAACCGCUUUCGCCUGUGACGAAGCGUGAGUGACGGUAAUGUGUAAGGAAGCACCGGCUAACUACGUG
rnacentral:rRNA from 1 species